rnacentral:rRNA from 1 species
UACGUAGGGGGCAAGCGUUGUCCGGAUUUAUUGGGCGUAAAGAGCGUGUAGGCGGCCAGACAGGUCCGUUGUGAAAACUCGAGGCUCAACCUCGAGACGUCGACGGAAACCGUCUGGCUAGAGUCCGGAAGAGGAGAGUGGAAUUCCUGGUGUAGCGGUGAAAUGCGCAGAUAUCAGGAAGAACACCAAUGGCGAAGGCAGCUCUCUGGGACGGUACUGACGCUGAGACGCGAAAGCGUGGGGAGCGAACAGG